UACGCUUUACUGAUGUUUACCAAGCAGCACACAUGGCUACAUGGUAUAGUUUAUUGGUACCACCUGAGCGUGCCUAAUUGGAUUAACAACAGAAUAGCUGUGACGUGUUGUUGGCUCAGACCAUGCUCCUGAGCACGCUGGUAGAAUAAACAAGAAAUGAUUAUUCUGCCAGUUUAAAAAUCACCCAUUGUUUUUAAAUCUACUGAGGCUGGAUAGAUAAAAAUAUGAGAGAGCUGAGCUCAGUCUGGGUCCUGGAGUAUUCAAACUAUUUAGUGGGAACUCAAGGAAGGAAAUAAUGCAGACUCCAACUAUCACACAGCCAGCCAAUGGAGAGAAAAGGAUUCAGAUGAUCAUCUGCUUGCUUGUGUUACAAAGCGGAAUUCCAGGGGAUGGAGAACAUGCCCUUCACCAUAAAUCACCACAGUAUCAGUGGCAGAAAGUCCUUCCACCUUGCAAGCUGCUAGCUGUGGGAGAAGAGCAGCCUUAGCUGAGUAAACUCUGCUCUGAAGCUCCCCAGGAGAGGGACCUGCAUUCACCCAUUUGCUGCCCCAUGCUCUCCCUGCAGGACGAGCUGGUGCUGGCAGAUGAGCUGAGGAGUGCUCACGUUUGGGGGCUUACUCCAGACAGCACUCUCUGUGAAAGACCAGAAUGUUAAGAGAUGAAUGGACAAGCAGCCAAAUACCACUGCAGGUGCUAUUUGCCUUUUGAUGCCAAAAGUGAAGAGACUUAAAAAUUAUGAAAAUUGCACAAAGGUGAUCAGUUGCUAUGCCACAAUAGAAGAAUUCACCUGAUUUUCAUCUCGCUACUCUGUGCCACCUUUCCGUGGUUGUGUCCAGUCCCACAACAGCAAUGUGCACAGGGGUUAUGAAGCUGCAAGUGCAUGGCCUGUUGGGGCACAUGCUGGAAGGAUCUGCCCCUGUAACUACAUAUGUGAUACAUGGAUGGCCACAGCAAAGAAACCGUCAUUAUUAUUAUUAUUAUUUUCUAUAAGCAAAGAAAGUAACAAAGAAACGAGCAAAACCCAGACCAUGUGACCCAUUUCUGCUUUAAUAUAUUCACAGCUCACAUUCUGGCUCUGACAGUGAGUUAGCUGGUGUAUGACCUGUGGUGUACAAUAAGUCACUUAAUCUUUUCCUGCCCGUUUGUAAAUAUGGUGAUCUAAAGCACCUCAUCUCCCUUACAGAGAAGGAGUUGUAUGGAUUAUUCAAACACGGCAUUACAAGCAUUUUGAGAACCUCUGUGGGUCAAGGCGCUUCAGCAUAACAAUGAAAGCUGCACGGGAAGCAUCAGUUUUCUUACUGGCAGUCCCUAUCUUCCACUAAUAAUGAAUUCACUUUAAAAAUGGCUGUUGCAAGUAUACCUAAUUUCAUAGAUACUUUUCAGCUUCACCUUCUGCCUUCUACUCAGAGUAAGACAAUUUGUAUGGCUAGCCUUACUUGAUUAA